rnacentral:rRNA from 1 species
CGGCCCCUGGACAAGACUGACGCUCAGGCGCGAAGCGUGGGGAGCAAACAGGAUAGAUACCUGGUAGUCACGCUGUAAACGAUGUCGAUUUGGAGGUUGUUCCCUUGAGGAGUGGCUUCCGGAGCUAACGCGUUAAAUCGACCGCUGGGGAGUACGGCCGCAAGGUUAAAACUCAAAUGAAUUGACGGGGGCCCGCACAAGCGGUGGAGCAUGUGGUUUAAUUCGAUGCAACGCGAAGAACCUUACCUACUCUUGACAUCCAGAGAAUUUAGCAGAGAUGCUUUAGUGCCUUCGGGAACUCUGAGACAGGUGCUGCAUGGCUGUCGUCAGCUCGUGUUGUGAAAUGUUGGGUUAAGUCCCGCAACGAGCGCAACCCUUAUCCUUUGUUGCCAGCACAUUAUGGUGGGAACUCAAAGGAGACUGCCGGUGAUAAACCGGAGGAAGGUGGGGAUGACGUCAAGUCAUCAUGGCCCUUACGAGUAGGGCUACACACGUGCUACAAUGGCGUAUACAAAGAGAAGCGACCUCGCGAGAGCAAGCGGAACUCAUAAAGUACGUCGUAGUCCGGAUUGGAGUCUGCAACUCGACUCCAUGAAGUCGGAAUCGCUAGUAAUCGUAGAUCAGAAUGCUACGGUGAAUACGUUCCCGGGCCUUGUACACACCGCCCGUCACACCAUGGGAGUGGGUUGCAAAAGAAGUAGGUAGCUUAACCUUCGGGAGGGCGCUUACCACUUUGUGAUUCAUGACUGGGGUGAAGUCGUAACAAGGUAACCA